AUGAACGCUGGCGGCAGGCUUAAUACAUGCAAGUCGAACGGUAACAUGAGAGUAGCAAUACUUUUGAUGACGAGUGGCGCACGGGUGCGUAACGCGUAUGCAACCUACCUGUAAUUGGGACAUAACGUUGAGAAAUUAGCGCUAAUAUCCCAUGUGAAUAUGAGGAGGCAUCUUUUUAUAUUUAAAGAUUUAUUGAUUACGGAUGGGCAUGCGUAUCAUUAGCUAGUUGGUAGGGUAACGGCUUACCAAGGCGACGAUGAUUAGGGGUUCUGAGAGGAACAUCCCCCACACUGGAACUGAGACACGGUCCAGACUCCUACGGGAGGCAGCAGUAGGGAAUAUUGGGCAAUGGAGGCAACUCUGACCCAGCCAUGCCGCGUGCAGGAAGACGGUCCUAUGGAUUGUAAACUGCUUUUAUUAUAGAGUAACCGGAGGUACGUGUACCUCCCUGCAAGUAUAUGAUGAAUAAGCAUCGGCUAACUCCGUGCCAGCAGCCGCGGUAAUACGGAGGAUGCGAGCGUUAUCCGGGUUUAUUGGGUUUAAAGGGUGCGCAGGCUGAUCGGUAAGUCAAUGGUGAAAUACUACUGCUUAACAGUAGCCGUGCCAAUGAUACUGCCGGACUAGAGUGUAAGAGGUGUAACUGGAAUGUGAUGUGUAGCGGUGAAAUGCUUAGAUAUGUCACAGAACGCCAAUCGUGAAGACAGGUUACAAACUUACAACUGACGCUCAUGCACGAAAGCGUGGGGAUCAAACAGGAUUAGAUACCCUGGUAGUCCACGCUGUAAACGAUGAUCACUCGUUGUUGGAUAGCAAUAUUCAGUGGCUAAGCGAAAGCGAUAAGUGAUCCACCUGGGGAGUACGAUCGCAAGGUUG
rnacentral:rRNA from 1 species